GACGAACGCUGGCGGCGUGCUUAACACAUGCAAGUCGAACGAUGAAGCCGGAGCUUGCUCCGGUGGAUUAGUGGCGAACGGGUGAGUAACACGUGAGCAAUCUGCCCUUGACUCUGGGAUAACUGCGGGAAACUGUAGCUAAUACCGGAUACGACACCUUGGGGCAUACCAGGGUGUGGCAAGAAUUUCGGUCAAGGAUGAGCUCGCGGCCUAUCAGCUAGUUGGUGAGGUAAUGGCUCACCAAGGCGACGACGGGUAGCCGGCCUGAGAGGGUGACCGGGCACCCUGGAACUGAGACACGGUCCAGAGUCCUACGGUAGGCAGCAGUGGGGAAUAUUGCACAGUGGGCGAAAGCCUGAUGCAGAAACGCCGCGUGAGGGAUGAAGGCUUUCGGGUUGUAAACCUCUUUUAGCAGUGAAGAAGCGAAAGUGACGGUACCUGCAGAAAAAGCACCGGCUAACUACGUGCCAGCCGCCGCCGUAA
rnacentral:rRNA from 1 species